AUGGCGUUGCCGCAACCGGCCUCUGUACCCAUCCUCGAUGAGCUCAUGGAGGAGAUCUUCCUCCGCCUUCCUACCCUAAACAUACUCACCCAUGCCUCCUCCAUGUGCGCCACAUUCUACCGCAUCAUCAAAGGCCGCACCUUCCGCCACCGCUUUCGUGCACUCCAAUGGCCUACCAUCCUCAGCUUCAUGCAUGCAACCGGACUCCACCCCACUCAGGCUCCGCAUGCCUCCGCCCCCGCUUGA
rnacentral:rRNA from 1 species